CCAAAAAAGCAUUUUAAUGAAAAUUUCAGUGUCCACUGGAUUAAUGUUUUAUAAGUUGUAGAGACCCUUCUAUGUGCUAGUUCAUUUUAAAAGCUAUAUCUUACCAUAACAGAUUCUUAAGAUGACUUGCAUGUUCAUUGUACAAAGUAUUUUUAAGAGACUUAAAAAAAAAACCCAAACAAUAAAUCCAGGAGGAAUCCAUUCAAUAUAUUAUUUCCAUUUUUUUAAGUAUUUGAGGUCAUCCUAUUUAUACAAUUUCUAGCCUGCUUUUUUCUCCUAAGUUUCAGACAUCACCCCAAAUUAUUUUGUUUUGUAAACAUUCAAACGGCCACUUCAUAAUCUGUCACAUAGAAUUCCUAAAUAGUUUUGUUGAACACAGGGUAUUAUCAACUUACACUAUCGUAAAUGAUCGGAGAUGAGUCGUUCUGCUUUUCAUGCUGCUCUGUAAGGAACACAGCAGCCUGGAUUGUCUGGAGGGCUUUGGGACGUGGCUCUUUAAUUCCCGGUCCGUGACAGAGGCAGGACAGAAAAGCCUUGUACUGCAAUGGUGUCCCCCCACGAGGGACACCAUUCAGAAUACCUGACCCACAGGAAAAGUUCUGGAAUGCCUGGGAAUGUGGAUUUAAAACUUGGCUAAACCACAUAGAUGCAUAUACACACACAUAUAAGUAAAUGCCAGGAAAAAAAAAAAAGUCUGGAGGGAUAAACAGCAAGCUUCGAGUACUGGUGACUCUGGGAUAGAAACUGGGAUUAGGCGAAGACGAGGCACUUGAGGUUGUUUUGGGUUUUUAUUUCCUAUUGUCUUCUUCUAUAUUCUUUGAACCCUUAAUUGUGAGAAUAUAUUUAUAUGGAACUUGUGUAAUAGUUAAGCAAAAUACAUUUUAGAGAAUGAACUCAAGAAUGAAUUCAAGCUCCUAGAACAGAGCGUGAUUUAUUCAGCAUAUAAUUACCUUUUACUCCCUUUUUAAACCAACCCUAGCAUGGUGCUUGGCACCGGUGGGGCACUGGACAAAUGAGCGAGUCUGGAGAUGGUGGCUUGUUCUGAGCUAAGAAGCUGUCACAUGCAUGUAGACGACAGGCCUUUAUAAUAACCUGAUCCCCUUCCGGCUGACUGGAUGAGAUGCCUCUGCAUCCAGGCUGGGCCAAGGAAGAAGUGGGUGGAAACUCUCAGCCGAGGGCCGGGAGCUUGGAGGUUUCAGGUUGACUGGCUCCUGUUACCCUUGGUCCCUUUGCUGUUGAUUUAAUCGCUGGUGGAGUCUGAGUUUCCCCGCAAAGCGCACAGCGGUUCCUGGGCCAAUGGAUGGCGAGAUCUUUCCUGUUUCUUUCAGGCCGUACACCUGGUCCCUGGCUCCACGCCGAGGCAGCAGGGCAGAGCUCGGAUGACAUCAAAGGCAGAAAUUCUCAGUUAUCUCUAAAGACACUCCGGUGAGAAGACAGAUGAAGCCAAUAUCCUGUGAGCCACCUGGGGGUCCAUAUCGCCAGAUGGGCAUCCCCAGGAGAACGUGUCUGGCCUCGCCAUACUUAAGUUGUAAUUCAGUUGACAUACAAGCUCUGAGUGGAGCAUUUAUUUAUUGUAAAUAUGUGGUUUGCACAGGCUUUAAAUCAGUAUGAUCGUCGACUUUUAUUUGCAUAAUUUAAAAAACCACACCCAUAUUAUGUUUCUCCAUUUUCUGAAGAUGCAUCUUGGCAUUCAUCCGUCGGUACAGAUAGAGCUCUGUCCCCACCCCAUGGUGUCCAUUCCAUGACUGUACAUAAUGCGUGCGGGCUGGCCCUUCCUAGAUUCUGAAACAUUUUGAGAAGAUUCCUUCGUUUGCAAGUAGUCCCAAAGUCAGAGUACCCACAGCCGCUUCUUACUGGCAUGAUUCUAUAUUCUCAUCACGCACACUGCAAAAUCAAACCAAAUAAUGCCUUAUAAACGAUGCAGCUCAGAGAGAGUAGUGUGUCCCCACACCCAGACAAUGCCACACAGCCUCCAGUGAACGAGAUGUCAUGUCUCGCUUCUGUUUGGCAGUACAGGGAUUUUAUUUUAUUUUAUUUUUGCUGCCUAAUGUAAAUAAUGACGCAAAAGAAAGGCAAGAGUGGGCUCAGCCCCUCCGAUGCCAACCACAGGGCCCUUUUGUAACUGAAUGCUCCUACAAGUAGCCAAUGUCCUUCCUGUUUACAGUGCCCCUGGUGCCCACGUGCCCGUGGCUUUCCUCCCAUCCCGCCUAACUUCCCAGCUCCAUCCUGGCAGCCAGGGUAAGGCGAGAUUCUUGAGAUUCGGGUACUUUUUUCUGCAAGUUAGAAACAUCCGUAACUCAUUAUUAUAGUCAAUUACAUAUUCUAUCUCAGAGAUGGGUUGUUUUUUUUCCUCCCGGAGAGCAGGAUUUUCACAGUAAAUAUGACACGAGGAAGUGUUAGACCGAAGCCUAUUAGCAAGUAUCUGCCUCACCUACCUGGUGCCUCACUCCUACCCUUAGGAACCCUGGAAGCACCCGCCAGGCGAACCUAGCUCCCUUCUAAACUAAAGAGGACCUGAGGGGUCUGAGAGCUCCGCCUUCCCUGUGGGGGGCGCACUUCUCUGUCAGGGAGAAGUGCCCAGGGCCAGCCCCCCCUGAAUAUGGAACUGGUCGGGAAGGGCUCUGGCUACUAUUCUCACACCCUUUUUCUGGAGCUGGCAAGGAAAUGGAAGUGUGUGUUUGCUUGCACCUGACCCCAAAUGCUCCCCUUUCUUGGAGGGGAAGCUGUAAGAGAGGAAGGAGAGAAAAUAGAAGGAAACAGACUGCCCCCAGGUCUGUGCUCAAAAUAGGUGGAGAUUAAAGGAAAUAGGCUGGGGGGGUGGGCAGGGAGGUGGCGAGAAGAGCAGUGGAAAAACAAGUAUCCUUUGGAACAACCCACUCAUGUGCUCAGACGUGAAGGACACCGUGCCCGGACCAAGCCAUCCAAAACAGCCGGUUAGGAGGGGUUGGGCAAACGUGACUGCACACACUUAGCUGUUGUCCAGAGUAAAGACUAGGAUGGCAUCCCACAUUACUGUCAUGCUUUGUCAUUCUGGAGAGGAGCCACUGAGCAAGGUCAAGUGCCCUUCUCUGGGGAAUCAAUCAUCCCAAAUUAUCACUGCUAAAUCAAUUGGAAAAGAAGCUUUGCAGGUCAUCAGCUCUGAGCAUAGCUGAUUUGUUUUAUUGGUUCUGGAAGGUUUCCAAAAGGUCAGGACUUUUUUAUUAUAACGGGAUCCGCUCCAUCUCCCUCCCAGUUGUAGGAAAAUAAUUACAAGGGCUUUAAUUAUCAUGAUGAAGAAGGCCCAAGACAAAGGCAAAUCCACCUUCAGAGGAGACUGGCCGCCCCGCUGAGGUGUUGAUGCAUUCACAUUCCGCACCACUGGGAUAGAAAUUAAAAAUAAAACCUGUCAAGGACAGAGGGAAGGGAUGAGCAGAAACCAAAAAUUGCAACGAGGUCAGAAAUCUCAGGAAUCUGGCCUCCCAUCUCUCCUCGAGACCUGUCACUGAAUUCACGCCCUCGGAACUCAGGCAGUGCCCGCCUCUGGCAGGACAGACCGUUAGCCCCUUGACCAUAAACUCCCACAGAGGCAUCGAGUUCCAGCGCUCUUACCGCUCUCAAGUGUUCUGACACCGUCUGUGGCUCCCCCGUGUUUCCUAUGUAUUUUAUAUUUAUUGAUGUGCCCUCUGCAGACUCAUUUCUUUGUAUCUAAUAAACUUUAAUAAGUGGAAA